ACGUAGGGACCAAGCGUUGUUCGGAUUUACUGGGCGUAAAGGGCGCGUAGGCGGCCUGGCAAGUGGAAGGUGAAAUCCCUCGGCUUAACCGAGGAACUGCCUUCCAGACUGCUUGGCUUGAGACCAGGAGAGGUGAGUGGAAUUCCCAGUGUAGCGGUGAAAUGCGUUGAUAUCGUUCGGAACACCAAUAGCGUAGGCAGGCUUCUGGGUGCCACCUGACACUGCUAGGACGAAAGCGUGGGGAGCGAAUGGGA
rnacentral:rRNA from 1 species